GCCUGGGUGGCUCAGUUGGUUAAGCGUCUGACUUCAGCUCAGGUCAUGAUCUCACGGCUUGUGGGUUCGAGCCCCGCAUCGGGCU
rnacentral:tRNA from 1 species